AUUGAACGCUGGCGGCAUGCUUUACACAUGCAAGUCGAACGGCAGCACGGGUGCUUGCACCUGGUGGCGAGUGGCGGACGGGUGAGUAAUGCAUCGGAACGUGUCCUGAAGUGGGGGAUAACGCAUCGAAAGAUGUGCUAAUACCGCAUAUUCUCUGAGGAGGAAAGUAGGGGAUCGAAAGACCUUAUGCUUUUGGAGCGGCCGAUGUCUGAUUAGCUAGUUGGUAGGGUAACGGCCUACCAAGGCGACGAUCAAUAGCUGGCGUGAGAGCGCGACCAGCCACACUGGAACUGAGACACGGUCCAGACUCCUACGGGAGGCAGCAGUAGGGAAUAUUGGACAAUGGAGGAAACUCUGAUCCAGCCAUGCCGCGUGAUAGAUGAAGGCCCUCUGGGUUGUAAAUAUCUUUUAUCUGGGAAGAAACACUCCUAUUCUUAGGAACUUGACGGUACCAGAGGAAUAAGCACCGGCUAACUCCGUG
rnacentral:rRNA from 1 species